UACGUAGGUGGCAAGCGUUGUCCGGAGUUAUUGGGCGUAAAGCGUGCGCAGGCGGUUACUUAAGCCAGGUGUGAAAGCCCUGGGCUUAACCUAGGAAUUGCGCUUGAGACUGGGUAGCUUUGAGUGUGGCAGAGGGAGGUGGAAUUCCACGUGUAGCAGUGAAAUGCGUAGAGAUGUGGAGGAACACCGAUGGCGAAGGCAGCCUCCUGGGCCAGCACUGACGCUCAUGCACGAAAGCGUGGGGAGCAAACAGG
rnacentral:rRNA from 1 species